rnacentral:rRNA from 1 species
UGGGUAACCUGCCCUUAACUCUGGGAUAAGCCUGGGAAACUGGGUCUAAUACCGGAUAUGACUCCUCAUCGCAUGGUGGGGGGUGGAAAGCUUUAUUGUGGUUUUGGAUGGACUCGCGGCCUAUCAGCUUGUUGGUGAGGUAAUGGCUCACCAAGGCGACGACGGGUAGCCGGCCUGAGAGGGUGAUCGGCCACAUUGGAACUGAGACACGGUCCAGACUCCUACGGGAGGCAG